AAACGACUCUCGGCAACGGAUAUCCCGGCUCUCGCAUCGAUGAAGAACGUAGCGAAAUGCGAUACUUGGUGUGAAUUGCAGAAUCCCGUGAACCAUCGAGUCUUUGAACGCAAGUUGCGCCCGAGGCCAUUAGGCCAAGGGCACGUCUGCCUGGGUGUCACGC
rnacentral:rRNA from 4 species